AAGCAAUAGGUCUAGUAUAUUCGGUGUAUGGAAGGACUGUAAGGUGUACAUGUCCAACUGGCAGGUGUCAUCUGACCUUGACCUCAUUUUCAUGGUUCAGUGGUUAUAGUUAAGUUUUUUGUGUUUUGGUCUGUUUUUCUCAUACUUUAUGCAAUAGGUUUACUAUAUUUGUUGUAUGGAAUAAUUGUAAGGUGUACAUGUCUAGCGGGCAGAUGUCAUCUGACCUUGACCUCAUUUUCAUGGUUCAGUGGUUAUAGUUAAGUUUUUGUGUUUUGGUCUGUUUUUCUCAUACUUUAUGCAAUAGGUUUACUAUAUUUGUUGUAUGGAAUGAUUGUAAGGUGUACAUGUCUAGCGGGCAGAUGUCAUCUGACCUUGACCUCAUUUUCAUGGUUUAGUGGUCAAAGUUAAGUUUUUGAGUUUUGGUCUUUUUAUCUAAUACUAUAUGUCAUAGGUCAACUAUAUUUGGUGUAUGGAAAUAUUUCAUGAUCUAUAUGUCAGUCGUGCAGGUUUUAUUUGACCUUGACCUGGUUUUCACGGUUCAUUGCUCAGUGUUAAGUUUUUGUGUUUUGGUCUAUUUUCUUCAACUAUAAGCAAUAGGCUCAACUAUAUUUGUCAUGUUUGUUGUAUGGAAGCAUUGUUAGCUGUGCAUGUCUGCCUGGCAUAUGGUUCAACUGACCUUGACCUCAUUUUCAUGAUUCAUGUUAAGUUUAUGUGACAGUCGUAAUAAAGCUUUAUAUUUAGGAGUAUCAACAUAAUAUCAAUGAUUAGUGAGAAAGGCGAGACAUUUCAGUGUGUGCACUCUUGUUAUGAUAAAGUAGGAUAACCUAUAAUAUAUUAAACAUUUAUGUUAAGCUCAACUGGCCCAAUGGAUCAUGUAAGCCUUUGCUAUCACUUGACGUCCGUUGUCAUUCAGUAUUAUUAGCUAAUGUCAUUCAGUAUUAUUAGCUAAUGUCAUUAUUUUUUUUAAGAGCAAAAUAAUUAGAAAUACAAGAACUACAAAAAUGCCAGUAUAUGUACAACCAUAACAAUUUGAUCUUGAGUAGCGAUUAUUUCUACUUAUUGCCUCUUGUUAUGUUUCUAUGUUAAUUUGCAGAUCAGACUAAAAAUUAACAUGCAUGACUAAUGCCUUUUAUAGGUUACGUUUUGAUGACAUAAUUUUACAUAAGCCAAUUUAAUUGAAUGUCUUGUUUACCAUCAAAAACAUACUCACUACAGGACAACUAUUUUAUUAUUGAAGUACAAAGUAUACCACAUUUACACCAACUUUAUAUGUCUCAGUGAAUCAAAUCAGGACUUCAAGUAUUCAUUCUAGAGGGCAUUCUUAAAUAGAACCUAUACAGCAUAAAUAACAGGACAUUUAUGUCUGUAUAUAUAUUUGAUCUAGUCAGAGCUAUCUUGUUUGAAUAUAUUUACCUUCUUAUGGAAGUGUGUUAGUGAAAUUUUGAAAUGUCUGAGAUUUGACAAAUGAUAGUAAAUAUAGCAUUUGUUCAAUCUAGUCUCUUAUCUGCUGAACCAAACAUGACAGAUAUGUUCCUUUGCUGUUUGAACAGGUUUAGCUACUUUAGAAUAGGAAAUCAUCCAAACACAUAUGUGAUGAUCAGAUCUACCUUUGCCUUUUUACAGACAAUUGUAUAUUUGACUUAGUUUUGCUACCAAACUGAACAUUGUCAAUACAUACUGACAAAUAUUGUUAUAUAAUCUACAUUAGUGGUCUAACACAAUUAAACUCAUCUCAAAUUGCACACAUUUACCCAAUGAAAUGAUCUGAAUUAGUAGUGAUCUGAUGUAGUCUUUUAAUUUAUGACUAUUAAUUUACUAUAUUUUCAAAACAAAUUUUAAGGCAUUAUUAUAAAUUUCAUGUGAAAUAUUUAUACAUGUUGCAUCUUUCAUACCACAAUGAUAAUGUCA
rnacentral:lncRNA from 1 species